GGUGCCCUACGGACGCAGCAGUGGGGAAUAUUGCACAAUGGGGGAAACCCUGAUGCAGCAACGCCGCGUGAGUGAUGACGGCCUUCGGGUUGUAAAGCUCUGUCUUCAGGGACGAUAAUGACGGUACCUGAGGAGGAAGCCACGGCUAACUACGUGCCAGCAGCCGCGGUAAUACGUAGGUGGCGAGCGUUGUCCGGAUUUACUGGGCGUAAAGGGAGCGUAGGCGGAUUUUUAAGUGAGAUGUGAAAUACUCGGGCUCAACUUGAGUGCUGCAUUUCAAACUGGAAGUCUAGAGUGCAGGAGAG
rnacentral:rRNA from 1 species